AGCAGCGUGGCUCAGUGGAAAGAGCACGGGCUGGGAAGUCAGAGAUCAUGGGUUCAAAUCCCAGUUCAGCUG
rnacentral:tRNA from 1 species